GCCGGAGUUUGGGGAAGCCUGCUCUAAUACUUUGUCAAACCCGAAGGUGCUCAGCCUAAUAUUGCCCCUCAAAUAUGUAAGAAAUUACUGUAUUUUUCCAUGUAUAAGACUAUGUUUUUUACUCAUUUUUUCUUGUCUAUAAUUGGGGGUCGUCUUAUACAUGGAAUGUCACUGCAGGUGUUAAAAAUAGACACUUGUCUGCGGGGCAUGACAGCUAACCGAGCUAGUCACAUGUGGCUGGAGCUCCUUCAAAAAUCGAAUUAUUAAGACAAAUAAAGUACAUACUCAGCGCAAAUCUGGCACAAAAUGUGGCUACUCGCUGACAGAGCUCUCAGUUUACUGUUGGGUUCGCUACUGCCAGGUUCCUGCGGGCACAGGCUGUGUUGUACACCUCUGCGACCUGCUGACAUACUUGAAGCAGAGGAGGCGCUUCUCCAUGAAUUUGAUCAAUUGUGUGCGCAAGUCUGGGAGAUCUUGCUCAACCACAUGCUUCCUCGCAUCACGCCAAGAACUCACGGCUCUGGACUACAGAUAGAUGCCGCUGGGUGAGGCC